rnacentral:lncRNA from 1 species
CCUCCAACUGCGUGGGUGCGAUAGCAAGUGCCCCGCCAGAGGUGCCUGCUCUUUUCAGGCAUAUCUGCCAACUGGCUGGUUUCUGGCCAAAGCCUGUGAAUCCGAAGGUUGGAAACUCAGUUUCUAAGCUCUGGGAGGGGCUGGGAAGAGUCAGUUCUUCUAGAAACCAAACCUAUGUGCUUAAAUACACCACAGAAGGGCUUGGCAGAGCCACCGGAAGUUGGAUGGUAGUGUUGUGACUCACAGGAACCCCAGAUGAGAAGAGGCCGUCUGAGAGGUGAUGUAGGUUCUUGAAGUCUUAAACUCUUCCUCCUUCCCUCCCUUCCUUCCUCUUCUCUAAGAAUUUAGGAAGUCUUGAUCAUAUAGCCAACUGCUAUAGUAUUUUACAAGAUAUAUAAUAGAAGAGAACAAUGAAGCAACCAACAUAUGGUUGAAAACAUAUAUAGCAUGUCCAGAUGAACUGAAAAACUUCAUCUGGAGGUUGAAUAAGAGAAAGGAAUUAAAUUCAAAAAGAAUAUCCUUAAACCUUAGAACAUGACAAAUUUCAGCAGUGUUACAAAAAUGACCAAAAGCUCCAAAUGAACCUCUGGAAUCUAGUCCACAUACAAGUGAGAUCAUGCAGCAUUUUUAUUUGUGUCCAGCUUAUGUCACUCAGGAAUUUCUAGAUAUUUCCUCGAGGUUCAUUCAUGCUGUUGCAAAUGACAGGAUGUACUUCUGAAUGUGAGAGAGUUUCAGAGAACUGGAAUCCAUUGGAUGAACAAGCUUAAUUUCAAAAUCUCAGAUGACAGAAAUUCUCACUGACUCCAAAUGAGGAACAGAAUGGCUGCAUACUUUAGAUAUUUUUAACUAACACCAUUAAUGUAAUCAUGAAGACCAUGCCUAUAUUGUCAUUAUAUCAAAAUAUGUUCACUUCAACAAGUAGAAGUUCUUCCAUUGACAAAAGUAUUUAAUGAAUUGUCAAUAAAACUUUGUUGGGAUGCAAAGAAUUAUGUCAAGCACCUCGGCACUACAAAAUUAAAUAAUCAGCUGGUGUUCCUCAAAAAAGCAUAUGAAUGUGCUUAUUUUCAUCAAGAGGACUUCAUGAUCCAGUCAGGAAGACAAGGCAGGUACACUAAUAAAUAUAGGUAGAAUCUAAGAAGAACCACAAAAGAGGGACAAAGCUAUAGGAUUUCAGAUGCAAGAGAUUACUUCUAGCUAAAGGGAACCCAUGAAGAUGACACAAGAGUGACAUUGGAACCGAGUCUCUCAGUGUGCUUAGACUUGCUAUUGGAUCUUCCCUGUAUUUCUCCAGUUACCCACUCAAUAAAGUUUCUUGCCAGUGGUUAUGACUCGUGCUCAUUUCUAAUGCUUUUUAACAUAUUACCACAAACUGGGUGGCUUAAAUCUCAUUGUGUUUUAUGUCAUAGUUUCUGUGGGUCAAGAACACAGACAGGGAGUAUCUGGGUUCUCUGCUCAGGGUCUCACAGAG